rnacentral:rRNA from 1 species
GAUGAACGCUGGCGGCGUGCCUAAUACAUGCAAGUCGAGCGAACAGACGAGGAGCUUGCUCCUCUGACGUUAGCGGCGGACGGGUGAGUAACACGUGGAUAACCUACCUAUAAGACUGGGAUAACUUCGGGAAACCGGAGCUAAUACCGGAUAAUAUAUUGAACCGCAUGGUUCAAUAGUGAAAGACGGUUUUGCUGUCACUUAUAGAUGGAUCCGCGCCGCAUUAGCUAGUUGGUAAGGUAACGGCUUACCAAGGCAACGAUGCGUAGCCGACAUGAGAGGGUGAUCGGCCACACUGGAACUGAGACACGGUCCAGACUCCUACGGGAGGCAGCAGUAGGGAAUCUUCCGCAAAGGGCGAAAGCCUGACGGAGCAACGCCGCGUGAGUGAUGAAGGUCUUCGGAUCGUAAAACUCUGUUAUUAGGGAAGAACAAAUGUGUAAGUAACUAUGCACGUCUUGACGGUACCUAAUCAGAAAGCCACGGCUAACUACGUG